AUGAACGCUGGCGGCGUGCCUAAUACAUGCAAGUCGAGCGGACGGACGAGAAGCUUGCUUCUCUGAUGUUAGCGGCGGACGGGUGAGUAACACGUGGAUAACCUACCUAUAAGACUGGGAUAACUUCGGGAAACCGGAGCUAAUACCGGAUAAUAUUUUGAACCGCAUGGUUCAAAAGUGAAAGACGGUCUUGCUGUCACUUAUGGGUGGAUCCGCGCUGCAUUAGCUAGUUGGUAAGGUAACGGCUUACCAAGGCAACGAUGCAUAGCCGACCUGAGAGGGUGAUCGGCCACACUGGAACUGAGACACGGUCCAGACUCCUACGGGAGGCAGCAGCAGGGAAUCUUCCGCAAUGGGCGAAAGCCUGACGGAGCAACGCCGCGUGAGUGAUGAAGGUCUUCGGAUCGUAAAACUCUGUUAUUAGGGAAGAACAUAUGUGUAAGUAACUGUGCACAUCUUGACGGUACCUAAUCAGAAAGCCACGGCUAACUACGUG
rnacentral:rRNA from 1 species